GAUGAACGCUAGCGGGAGGCUUAAUACAUGCAAGUCGAGGGGUAACAGGGGACUUCGGUCCUGCUGACGACCGGCGCACGGGUGAGUAACGCGUACACAACCUACCUUCAAGAGGGGGAUAGCCUUUGGAAACGAAGAUUAAUACCCCAUGUGAUUAACUUAUAGCAUUAGGAGUUAAUUAAAGUUCCGGCGCUUGAAGAUGGGUGUGCGUCCCAUUAGCUAGUUGGUGAGGUAACGGCUCACCAAGGCUACGAUGGGUAGGGGGCGUGAGAGCGUGGCCCCCCACACGGGUACUGAGACACGGACCCGACUCCUACGGGAGGCAGCAGUAAGGAAUAUUGGACAAUGGGCGCAAGCCUGAUCCAGCCAUCCCGCGUGUAGGAUGACUGCCCUACGGGUUGUAAACUACUUUUAUCAGGGAAGAAUAGUAUUGAUUUAUCAGUAUAUGACGGUACCUGAAGAAUAAGCACCGGCUAAUUCCG
rnacentral:rRNA from 1 species